rnacentral:misc_RNA from 1 species
CCAUUCAUGCACAAUUUAUAUAUAUAAGUUCUUAAGUUUUAUUAAUUUACAUGAUUUACAGACUGAUUACAUAAACUCAUAAUUUGUAUGAUCUACAAAUUAAUUGCAGUUCCAUAAUCUAUAUUUCAACAUACAAUUCAUAGUUUACAUUACAAAUAAUAACUAGUUAUAAUGUACAAAAUACAUAAUAUGAUCUAUAUGGGCCCUAUUGACAUGCAUUGCUGAGGAGGUGACA